AACGAACGCUGGCGGCGUGCUUAACACAUGCAAGUCGAGUGCGCGCCUGUAGCAAUACAGGUGGCGCACGGCGCACGGGUGCGUAACACGUGGGUAAUCUGCCCUCUGAUGGGGAAUAACCCGCCGAAAGGCGGGCUAAUUCCGCAUAAUAUUCCUUGAUCUUAUGUUCGAGGACUCAAAGGCGUAAGUCGUCGGAGGAGGAGCCCGCGCACGAUUAGCUAGUUGGUAGGGUAAUGGCCUACCAAGGCUUUGAUCGUUAGCUGGUCUGAGAGGAUGG
rnacentral:rRNA from 1 species